rnacentral:rRNA from 1 species
GCAUAUCAAUAAGCGGAGGAAAAGAAACCAACAGGGAUUGCCUUAGUAGCGGCGAGUGAAGCGGCAAAAGCUCAAAUUUGAAAUCUGGCACCUUCGGUGUCCGAGUUGUAAUUUGAAGAUUGUAACCUUGGGGUUGGCUCUUGUCUAUGUUUCUUGGAACAGGACGUCACAGAGGGUGAGAAUCCCGUGCGAUGAGAUGCCCAAUCCUAUGUAAGGUGCUUUCGAAGAGUCGAGUUGUUUGGGAAUGCAGCUAUAAGUGGGUGGUAAAUUCCAUCUAAAGCUAAAUAUUGGCGAGAGACCGAUAGCGAACAAGUACAGUGAUGGAAAGAUGAAAAGAACUUUGAAAAGAGAGUGAAAAAGUACGUGAAAUUGUUGAAAGGGAAGGGUUUGAGAUCAGACUCGAUAUUUUGUGAGCCUUGCCUUCGUGGCGGGGUGACCCGCAGCUUAUCGGGCCAGCAUCGGUUUGGGCGGUAGGAUAAUGGCGUAGGAAUGUGACUUUGCUUCGGUGAAGUGUUAUAGCCUGCGUUGAUGCUGCCUGCCUAGACCGAGGACUGCGAUAUAUCAAGAUGCUGCCAAACCCAAACGCCCCACCA